AGAGGGGAUGGUCAAUGAGUUCGAUCUCCAUUGGCCAAUGAUUUAGUCAAGUGGGCCUACAUAAUGAAGUGGUCUUAAAAGCCCAGGAGGCCUGGGUUCAGAGAACUUCCCGGGGAAGACGGAGGCCUUGGAAGGGUGUUGCUCCUGGAGAGGACAGGGAUGCUUCCCCCACCCACCCUCCACCCCUGUCUUUUCUGGCAGUCUGAAAGAAAUACAAGGAAAAAGACAAAAAUUGCAGCUUGAGGGAAUGAAGCUAGGAAUGAAGAAAAGAUCCCUGACAGUAUGGUGAUGUUCCUUGGACGCUGGAAUUGAUUACCAAGUAUUUGAUCAGACUGAAGUUUUGCCUAAAGGUGAUCUUAUCGAUAAACCACCUGAGAGGACAUUGUUGCUGUCCAACAAGGCUGGCUGAUGCCACUGAGGAUGUGAGGCAGUGUGGAAGGAGACCCCAGACACCCAGCCCAAAUUGCCCACUUGCAG